rnacentral:lncRNA from 1 species
UGGAGUUUUUAUAGGUGGUAUUGCAACUGGUGGUUUUGCAACAGGAGAAGUUGCAAUUGGUGGUGUUGCGGUGGGCGGUGUUGCAACUGGCGGUUUUGCGAUGGGUGGAGUUGCUAUUGGUGGAGUUGCAACAGGAGGUUUUGCGGGUGGUGGAGUUGUGAUAGGUGGUGUUGCGGCUGGUGGUGUUGCAACUGGUGGUUUUGAAAUAGGAGGAGUUAAGAUUGGUGGCUUUGCGGUAGGUGGAGUUGCUAUUGGUGGUGUUGCAACCGGUGGUUUUGCAACAGGUGGAGUUGCGGUGGGCGGUGCUGUAGUGGGUGGUGUUGCAACUGGUGGUUUUGCAAUAGGAGGAGUUGCAACUGGUGGUGUCGCGGUGGGCGGUGUUGCAACCGGUGAUUUUGCAAUAGGAGGAGUUGCAAUAGGUGGUGUUGCGGUGGGCGGUGUUACAACUGGGGGUUUUGCGACGGGUGGAAUUGCUAUCGGUGGAGUUGCAAUAGGCGGUUUUGCGGUAGGUGGAGUUGCUAUUGGUGGCAUUGCAACAGGUGGAGUUGCAGUAGGCGGUAUUGUCGUUGGAGGUUUUGCAAUAGGAGGAGUUGCAACUGGUGGAGUUGCGGUGGGCGGUGUUACAACCGGUGGUGUUGCAAUAGGAGGAGUUGCAAUAGGUGGAGUUGCGGUGGGCGGUGUUGCAACUGGCGGUUUUGCGACGGGUGGAGUUGCUAUUGGUGGAAUUGCAACAGGCGGUUUUGCAGGUGGUGGAGUUUUUAUAGGUGGUGUUGCAACUGGUGGUUUUGCAACAGGAGAAGUUGCAAUUGGUGGUGUUGCGGUGGGCGGUGUUGCAACUGGCGGUUUUGCGAUGGGUGGAGUUGCUAUUGGUGGAGUUGCAACAGGAGGUUUUGCGGGUGGUGGAGUUGUGAUAGGUGGUGUUGCGGCUGGUGGUGUUGCAACUGGUGAUUUUGAAAUAGGAGGAGUUGAGAUUGGUGGCUUUGCGGUAGGUGGAGUUGCUAUUGGUGGUGUUGCAACCGGUGGUUUUGCAACAGGUGGAGUUGCGGUGGGCGGUGUUGUAGUUGGUGGUGUUACAACUGGUGGUUUUGCAAUAGGAGGAGUUGCAACUGGUGGUGUCGCGGUGGGCGGUGUUGCAACCGGUGAUUUUGCAAUAGGAGGAGUUGCAAUAGGUGGUGUUGCGGUGGGCGGUGUUACAACUGGGGGUUUUGCGACGGGUGGAAUUGCUAACGGUGGAGUUGCAACAGGUGGUUUUACUGGUGUUGGAGUUGUUAUAGGUGGUGUUGCGGCUGGUGGUGUUGCAACUGGUGGUUUUGAAAUAGGAGGAGUUGAGAUUGGUGGCUUUGCGGUAGGUGGAGUUGCUAUUGGUGGUGUUUCAACUGGUGGUUUUGCAACAGGUGGAGUUGCGGUGGGCGGUGUUGUAGUGGGUGGUGUUGCAACCGGUGGUUUUUCAAUAGGAGGAGUUGCAACUGGUGGAGUCGCAGUGGGCGGUGUUGCAAUUGGCGAUUUUGCGAUGGGUGGAGUUGCAACAGGUGGUUUUGCGGGUGGUGGAGUUUUUAUUGGUGAUGUUGCGGUUGGUGGUGUUGCAACUGGUGAUUCUGAAAUAGGAGGAGUUGAGAUAGGUGAUUUUGAGGUAGGUGGAGUUGCUAUUGGUGGUGUUGCAACAGGUGGAGUUGCGGUGGGCGGUGUUGCAACUGGUGGCUGUGCAAUUGGAGUGACGGGUGGAG